rnacentral:rRNA from 2 species
UACGUAGGGUGCGAGCGUUAAUCGGAAUUACUGGGCGUAAAGCGUGCGCAGGCGGUUUUGUAAGACAGGCGUGAAAUCCCCGGGCUCAACCUGGGAAUGGCGCUUGUGACUGCAAAGCUGGAGUGCGGCAGAGGGGGAUGGAAUUCCGCGUGUAGCAGUGAAAUGCGUAGAUAUGCGGAGGAACACCGAUGGCGAAGGCAAUCCCCUGGGCCUGCACUGACGCUCAUGCACGAAAGCGUGGGGAGCAAACAGG